GCCAAAAACUUAGCUAAACUUCCUUCUAAUGUCCCCCCCCACCACCACAUCAACCAAUAAAACAUUUUCUACAUUUAGUAAAGGCGAUCAAAAAAUGUUUAAAAGCUAUAAAAUUAGUACCGCAAGGGAAUAGUGAAAUAUUAAUGAAAAUCUAAAGCACAUAAAAGCAGAGCUAUAGCCUCGUACCUUUUGCAUCAUGGUCUAACUAGUCUAAUCAAGCAAAACGAACUUUAAGUCUGACCCCCCGAAACUAGGUGAGCUACUUAAAAACAGCCUCACGGGCUAACCCGUCUCUGUUGCAAAAGAGUGGGAAGAUUUUUAAGUAGAGGUGACAGACCUAUCGAACCUAGAGAUAGCUGGUUAUUCAGGAAAAGGAUUUAAGUCCUACCUUAGGUUUUUCAUACCCCCAAAUAUUUACCAAACCUUAAGAGCUAUUCAAAUAAGGUACAGCCUAUUUGAAACAGGAUACAACCUCACCAAUCGGGUAACUUCUAUUUUAAUUAACCAAGUGGGCCUAAAAGCAGCCACCUUCCAAAAAGCGUUAAAGCUUCAUUAUUACGCAUAAAAAUUCCACCACCUCUUUUCAACCCCUAAACCGUACUGAAUGAUCCCAUAGCCCUAUGGGAGCCUAUAUGUUAGAACUAGUAACAAGAAGAUAGUUCUUCUCCAAAAUGUAAGCAUGGGCCAAAAUGAACCACUCAUUGGCACUUAAAGUUAAUAAACCCUUAGUAGUAACCAAGCAAGAAAAAUCUACUAAUUAUAACGUCAACCUUACACAAGCACAUUUCUGGAAAGAUUAAAAAAAUGGGAAGGAACUCGGCAAACUAUUAACCCCGCCUGUUUACCAAAAACAUCGCCUCUUGUUACCCAUAAGAGGUCCAGCCUGCCCAGUGACAAAGUUAAACGGCCGCGGUACCCUAACCGUGCAAAGGUAGCGCAAUCACUUGUUCUUUAAAUGAGGACUAGUAUGAAUGGCAUCACGAGGGUUAUGCUGUCUCCCCAAUUUACUCAGUGAAACUGAUCUCCCCGUGAAGAAGCGGGGAUAAGAAUAUAAGACGAGAAGACCCCAUGGAGCUUUAAACUCAGUAACAAUUGCACCACAAAAUAACCUAAUAUUUAUGCAACCCUGUCUACUAGUUUUCGGUUGGGGUGACCACGGAGUAUAAACAAACCUCCACGAUGAAAGGAAUUAACAACCUAAACCAAGAGCUACAGCUCUAAAUAUCAACAAAUUGACUAAAUUGAUCCAAUCACUUGAUCAACGAACCAAGUUACCCUGGGGAUAACAGCGCAAUCCAUUUCAAGAGCUCAUAUCGACAAAUGGGUUUACGACCUCGAUGUUGGAUCAGGGUAUCCAAGUGGCGCAGCCGCUACUAACGGUUCGUUUGUUCAAC
rnacentral:rRNA from 1 species